GAUGAACGCUAGCGGCAGGCCUAACACAUGCAAGUCGAGGGGUAACAGGGAGCUUGCUCUGCUGACGACCGGCGCACGGGUGCGUAACGCGUAUACAAUCUGCCCCUUACUAAGGAAUAGCCCAGGGAAACUUGGAUUAAUGCCUUAUAGUAUCGAGAUAUGGCAUCAUAUUUUGAUUAAAGGUUACGGUAAGGGAUGAGUAUGCGUCCUAUUAGCUUGUUGGUGUGGUAACGGCACACCAAGGCAACGAUAGGUAGGGGCCCUGAGAGGGGGAUCCCCCACAC
rnacentral:rRNA from 1 species